CUCUCUUAAUCCAACCACACACUUGAUUCUUCCCUUUCUUAAUCCCCGGCGCACCAACAUUAAUUUCAUUCUAGCAAUGUUGUCGUUUUCAACCAAAAAGUUUCAGAGGUACUAUGCUUCUUCUAUCCCUCUUUUUCAACUUCUAAACCCUAAUUUCAUUCCUUCUUCAACAAUGCUAUACUCUCAAUUACACAACCAACAAGAAGAUCAUGAUAAUCUUGUUUCUUCAUUCAAUCAAUUACUACUUCAGAAUCCAACCCCACCCAUCAUUCAUUUUGGUAAGAUUUUAGGUUCUCUUGUUAAGGCCAAUCAUUACUAUACUGUUAUUUCACUUCAUCGUCAUAUGGAAUUAAAUGGAAUUGCUUCAGAUUUAGUCACUUUGAGCAUCUUGAUCAAUUGCUUUUCUCAAUUGGGUUUAAACUCUCUUUCCUUUUCUGUAUUUGCCAACAUUCUCAAAAAGGGUUAUGACCCAGAUGUCAUAACUUUGACUACACUCAUCAAGGGUCUUUGUCUCAAAGGUCAGAUCCAUAAAGCAUUGAACUUUCAUGACAACUUGGUAGCACAGGGAUUUCAGUUGAAUCAAGUUAGUUACGGGACCUUAAUCAAUGGGUUAUGUAAAGUAGGAGAAACAAGUGCAGCCUUGCAGUUGCUGAGACGAGUUGAUGGGAAACUGGUUCGACCUUGUGUGGUAAUGUACAGUGCAAUUAUUGACAGUAUGUGCAAAGAUAAACUUGUUGAUGAUGCUUUUGAUUUAUAUUCUGAAAUGGUCGCUAAGAGAAUUUAUCCCAAUGUUGUCACUUAUAGUACUUUAAUUAGUGGCUUUUGCAUUGUCGGUAAAUUGAAAGAAGCAAUUGGGCUUUUUAAUAAAAUGGUUUUGGAGAACAUAAACCCGAAUGCGUAUACGUUUAAUAUAUUGGUUGAUGCAUUUUGUAAGGAAGGAAAAGUGAAAGAAGCUAAUAAUGUGUUUGCUGUGAUGAUCAGAAAAGGUGUUAAACCUAAUGUUGUUACAUAUAACUCUUUAAUGGAUGGAUAUUGCUUAGUUAAACAAGUGAACAAGGCCAAGGAUAUAUUCAAUAUCAUGGCCCAAAGUGGAGUGACUCCUGAAGUUCGGAGCUAUAAUAUUAUGAUUAAUGGAUUUUGUAAGGUUAAAAUGGUGGAUGAAGCCUUAAUUCUCUUCAAAGAAAUGCGUUGUAGAAACAUUAUUCCUAAUGUGAUAGCUUACAGUUCCCUUAUUGAUGGUUUGGGAAAAUCAGGGAGAAUCUCUCAUGCUUUGAAGCUUGUUGAUGAGAUGCAUGAUAGAGGUCAACCACCUGAUAUAGUUACCUACAAUUCUAUAUUUGAUGCUUUAUGCAAAACCCAUCAUGUUGAAAAGGCGAUUGCAUUAUUAACAAAAGUUAAGGACGAGGGUAUUCAACCAAAUAUGAACACAUAUACUAUUCUUAUUCACGGAUUGUGUAAAGUUGGAAGAGUAGACGACGCGAGAAAUGUUUUUGAAGAUCUUUCAGUCAAAGGCUACAAUCUACAUGUUUAUACAUAUACUGUUAUGAUCCAAGGGUUUUGCGACAAGGGCUUGUUUGAUGAAGCGUUGGCCUUGCUAUCAAAAAUGAAAGACAAUAGUUGCAUUCCAGACGCUGCAACUUAUGAAAUAAUUAUCUGUUCUCUGUUUAAUAAAGGUGAAAAUGAUAAGGCAGAGAAACUUCUACGUGAAAUUAUCGCAAAAGGUCUAUUGUAAGAUUGAAACUAGGAAACUUGAGUCAAAGAAUCAUUUUGGUGGAGUGAUCUGGUAAAUUUUAAUACAACAACUUUGGUAGGUUUUAUAUCAGGAAUUAAUAAUGGAAUUACGGAGAAACUUUUCGCUACUAUAGAAAGUGAAUUGGGACAGUGCUGGUUUAAGUGAAACUUUGACUUUGUGAUUCCAAAGACUUGAAUUGUACACAACAGGUACAAGCUUGGAUCUUUAUAAUUACUGAUUUUGCAUUUUUGGAUGAGUAUUUAUCUUCAAUUUUGGUUUAUAUUAUUUAUGGAACAUGUAUUUAUAGUACAAGCUUAGAUGUAUGCUAUUCUAGAACAUGUAUUCCAGGGCCCUUCUCCUUCAUAUACAGCCGUGUCAUUCUGAGAUGAAUGCUGAUUUUGCACCCUCAUGCAUAAAAUUCAUGUCAUGGUUGCACACAUGAACUGCGACGAGAUUGGGGACAAAGUGCAAGUACGAUGUGCCGCCAAGACUUCUGUGUGCAACAAACCUGCUGUCAAGACCUUCAUCUUGUUGAACCUGAGUGUGACGAAAGUACUGUGGUCUGAAAUCUGAGUUGUGAGUUUGAUAUUUGAUUCUGUGUUCUUCCAUUUAUUCAACUGACUUCUUGAAGUUGUUGAUAUUACGAGUUUGUUAUUCUUGAUGUGAUUUCGUGAUCUGAGUAUGAUGUUCUGAAAAGACAAUAUGAAACUAUCAACUUUGAUAAUACAAAAGUUUGUACUGCAGUUUUUCUUCUUAGUUAUGAUACAAUUGGAUGAUGCUUAAAAAUAUUUGUUUUCUUUGAUACAAAUAUGGUAACUACGAAAGGUCAGAACUUAAAUACACCUUGAAUACAAGUGUUGAGAUGUAGGAAGCAUAAUAUUUUUUCUGCAUAAUUAUGCAGCAGCCUAUAUAUUUAAAGGGUCUGUUUGGUUGGAGACUUUUGAAGGGAGUGGAUAUAAUAUUUUAAAUGAAAUGCCUAUUAGAAUUAGGAGUUGGGUCUAACUCAUCCUUACAAAAUCGGCUUGUAAGGUGAGGAUUGCCUCUAAUUUAUAAACACAUAUUCAGGCCAUCUCACAACCGAUGUGAGACUUCUUAACACACCCCUCACGCCCAACACUAUUGGGCUUGGUGCAUGAAUAUAAACGCUAGGUGGCCCGAUAGUGGAAACCUAAUAACAGAUGGCCCAGUGGAUCCUGUAGAGGCUCUGAUACCAGGAAAUUUUUUUUUCUACCCCUACAAUUAACCCUGUACCCCUACGUAUUUAAUAAAAUUCCCAUUCCACCCUUAUCUUAUUAUAUUAUUUUUCCAAAAGUGUUCCGGGAAAUGCAUAGAAAGUGUUCAGGAAUAGAGAAAAAUGAACUACUUGGCCGGAGAAUCGGAGAAGAAGACUAUGGCAAACAUGACCGGAGAAGCAGAUUCGCGUGUACGAUUGUGCUAUGCAGCGGCACUCAGAAGAACAGAUGCGGGGGCGCGGUGUUUUUUCUCAACAGAGAAGAAGGCUGUAAUGAACACGAUCGUUACUGUAGUUCGCGUGCACUGUAGGAGUGGUGCGGCGGCGCGAGUAGCGGUGGACUGUCGAAGAAGAUGAACAGUAGUGGAAAAUUUUGCAUACAGGAAAUUUUUUUGUCCAAAUCUGAACACUUUCUAUUAAUUGGAAUAAGAUAAGGGUAAAAAUGGAAUUUUUAUAAAUGUGUAGGGGUACAAGGUUAAUUGUUGGGGUAGAAAAAAAUAAUUUCCUGAUACCAUCUUAGAAUUAGGAGUUGGGCAUAACUCAUCCUUACAAAACCAGCUUGUAAGGUGAGGAUUGCCUCUAGUUUAUAAACACAUAUUUAGGUCAUCUCACAACCGAUGUGGGACUUCUUAACAGCCCCUUGGAUUAGUUGGUCGUAGUCUCCUAGGGCCGGAAUUUUUAUUUAAAUAAAGUGUAUUUGUAGGAUGUUAAAAAAUAAUUUAUUAUAUGGACAAAAUUAAUUGCCUUUA